ensembl:lncRNA
AGAGACUGUAGCUGUGGAGAGACUGUAGCUGUGUUGAGGUUGCAGCUUUGGAGAGGCUGUAGCUGUGGAGAGGCUGUAGCUGUGGAGAGACUGUAGCUGUGGAGACUGUAGCUGUGGAGAGACUGUAGCUGUGGAGAGACUGUAGCUGUGGAGAGGUUGUAGCUGUGGAGAGUCUGUAGCUGUGGAGAGGUUGUAGCUGUGGAGAGGCUGUAGCUGUGGAGAGACUGUAGCUGUGGAGAGACUGUAGCUGUGGAGAGACUGUAGCUGUGUUGAGGUUGCAGCUUUGGAGAGGCUGUAGCUGUGGAGAGACUGUAGCUGUGGAGAGGUUGUAGCUGUGGAGAGGCUGUAGCUGUGGAGAGACUGUAGCUGUGGAGAGACUUUAACUGUGGAGAGACUGUAGCUGUGGAGAGACUGUAGCUGUGGAGAUUUUGUAGCUGUGGAGAUUUUGUAGCUCUGGAGAGACUGUAGCUCUGGAGAGACUGUAGCUGUGGAGAGGUUGUAGCUGUGGAGAGACUGUAGCUGUGGAGAGACUGUAGCUGUGGAGGCUGUAGCUGUGGAGAGACUGUAGCUGUGGAGAGUCUGUAGCGUGGAGAGACUGUAGCUGUGGAGAGGUUGUAGCUGUGGAGAGGUUGUAGCUGUGGAGAGACUGUAGCUGUGGAGAGGUUGUAGCUGUGGAGAGGUUGUAUCUGUGGAGAGGUUGUAGCUGUGGAGAGGUUGUAGCUGUGGAGAGGUUGUAGCUGUGGAGGUUGUAGCUGUGGAGAAGUUGUAUCUGUGGAGAGGUUGUAUCUGUGGAGAGGUUGUAGCUGUGGAGAGACUAGCUGUGGA